CAGGGGGGCGUGCUUACCAUGCAAGUCGAACGAUGAUGCCCAGCUUGCUGGGUGGAUUAGUGGCGAACGGGUGAGUAAUACGUGAGUAACCUGCCCUUGACUCUGGGAUAAGCCUGGGAAACUGGGUCUAAUACUGGAUACUACCGUCCACCGCAUGGUGGGUGGUGGAAAGGGUUUUACUGGUUUUGGAUGGGCUCACGGCCUAUCAGCUUGUUGGUGGGGUAAUGGCUCACCAAGGCGACGACGGGUAGCCGGCCUGAGAGGGUGACCGGCCACACUGGGACUGAGACACGGCCCAGACUCCUACGGGAGGCAGCAGUGGGGAAUAUUGCACAAUGGGCGGAAGCCUGAUGCAGCGACGCCGCGUGAGGGAUGACGGCCUUCGGGUUGUAAACCUCUUUCAGUAGGGAAGAAGCGAGAGUGACGGUACCUGCAGAAGAAGCGCCGGCUAACUACGUGCCAGCAGCCGCGGUAAUACGUAGGGCGCAAGCGUUGUCCGGAAUUAUUGGGCGUAAAGAGCUCGUAGGCGGUUUGUCGCGUCUGCUGUGAAAGCCCGGGGCUCAACCCCGGGUCUGCAGUGGGUACGGGCAGACUAGAGUGCAGUAGGGGAGACUGGAAUUCCUGGUGUAGCGGUGAAAUGCGCAGAUAUCAGGAGGAACACCGAUGGCGAAGGCAGGUCUCUGGGCUGUUACUGACGCUGAGGAGCGAAAGCAUGGGGAGCGAACAGGAUUAGAUACCCUGGUAGUCCAUGCCGUAAACGUUGGGCACUAGGUGUGGGGGACAUUCCACGUUUUCCGCGCCGUAGCUAACGCAUUAAGUGCCCCGCCUGGGGAGUACGGCCGCAAGGCUAAAACUCAAAGGAAUUGACGGGGGCCCGCACAAGCGGCGGAGCAUGCGGAUUAAUUCGAUGCAACGCGAAGAACCUUACCAAGGCUUGACAUUCACCGGACCGCCUCAGAGAUGGGGUUUCCCUUCGGGGCUGGUGGACAGGUGGUGCAUGGUUGUCGUCAGCUCGUGUCGUGAGAUGUUGGGUUAAGUCCCGCAACGAGCGCAACCCUCGUUCUAUGUUGCCAGCACGUGAUGGUGGGGACUCAUAGGAGACUGCCGGGGUCAACUCGGAGGAAGGUGGGGAUGACGUCAAAUCAUCAUGCCCCUUAUGUCUUGGGCUUCACGCAUGCUACAAUGGCCGGUACAAAGGGUUGCGAUACUGUGAGGUGGAGCUAAUCCCAAAAAGCCGGUCUCAGUUCGGAUUGAGGUCUGCAACUCGACCUCAUGAAGUCGGAGUCGCUAGUAAUCGCAGAUCAGCAACGCUGCGGUGAAUACGUUCCCGGGCCUUGUACACACCGCCCGUCAAGUCACGAAAGUUGGUAACACCCGAAGCCGGUGGCCUAACCCCUUGUGGGAGGGAGCCGUCGAAGGUGGAACGGGGC
rnacentral:rRNA from 1 species